rnacentral:misc_RNA from 1 species
GGAGAAGGUGAAGGGGCCGAGAGUAGUGAGUAUUGAUGGAGAAGGGACUGAGAAGGACACGCUGGGUGGCGGUAGCGGUGAGGCAUUAAAAAUUGAGCUGUGAGUUUGAGUGAGUAUUAAGUUAAAUGUGUGGUGGUGUGUAGAGCAAUGAGGUGUUUAAUUGCAAUGUAGAGUUCAAUUCUAUAUUGUACUGCAGUCUGUAAUGUAUC